GACGAACGCUGGCGGCGUGCUUAACACAUGCAAGUCGAACGGACUGCUUGGGGCUUGCCCUGGGUGGUGAGUGGCGAACGGGUGAGUAACACGUGAGUAACCUGCCCUCUUCUUUGGGAUAACGGCCGGAAACGGCUGCUAAUACUGGAUAUUCAUGCUUCCUCGCAUGGGGGGUGUGGAAAGGGUUUCUGGUGGGGGAUGGGCUCGCGGCUUAUCAGCUUGUUGGUGGGGUGAUGGCUUACCAAGGCUUUGACGGGUAGCCGGCCUGAGAGGGUGACCGGUCACAUUGGGACUGAGAUACGGCCCAGACUCCUACGGGAGGCAGCAGUGGGGAAUUUUGCACAAUGGGCGCAAGCCUGAUGCAGCGACGCCGCGUGAGGGAUGGAGGCCUUCGGGUUGUGAACCUCUUUCGCUUAUGGUCAAGCCGCGCUUUUGGGUGUGGUGAGGGUAGUAGGUAAAGAAGCGCCGGCUAACUACGUGCCAGCAGCCGCCGUAAUAC
rnacentral:rRNA from 1 species